rnacentral:rRNA from 1 species
UACGAAGGGUCCAAGCGUUAUCCGGAUUUAUUGGGUUUAAAGGGUGCGUAGGCGGCCCAUUAAGUCAGUGGUGAAAGCCGGCAGCUCAACUGUCGAAUUGCCAUUGAUACUGCGGACCUAGAAUAUAGAUGACGUUGGCGGAAUAUGACAUGUAGCGGUGAAAUGCAUAGAUAUGUCAUAGAACACCGAUUGCGAAGGCAGCUGACGAAACUAUAAUUGACGCUGAUGCACGAAAGUGCGGGGAUCAAACAGG